UGGGGUGCUCGAGUGGCGAACGGGUGAGUAACGCGUGAGUAACCUGCCCUUGACUUUGGGAUAACUUCAGGAAACUGGGGCUAAUACCGGAUAGGAGCUCCUGCUGCAUGGUGGGGGUUUGAAAGUUUCGGCGGUUGGGGAUGGACUCGCGGCUUAUCAGCUUGUUGGUGGGGUAGUGGCUUACCAAGGCUUUGACGGGUAGCCGGCCUGAGAGGGUGACCGGCCACAUUGGGACUGAGAUACGGCCCAG
rnacentral:rRNA from 1 species